rnacentral:rRNA from 1 species
UACGUAGGGUGCAAGCGUUGUCCGGAAUUAUUGGGCGUAAAGAGCUCGUAGGCGGUCUGUCGCGUCGGCUGUGAAAACCCGGAGCUCAACUCCGGGCCUGCAGUCGAUACGGGCAGACUGGAGUUCGGCAGGGGAGACUGGAAUUCCUGGUGUAGCGGUGAAAUGCGCAGAUAUCAGGAGGAACACCGAUGGCGAAGGCAG